rnacentral:rRNA from 1 species
UACGGAGGGUGCAAGCGUUAUCCGGAUUCACUGGGUUUAAAGGGUGCGUAGGCGGGCAGGUAAGUCAGUGGUGAAAUCUCCGAGCUUAACUCGGAAACUGCCGUUGAUACUAUUUGUCUUGAAUAUUGUGGAGGUAAGCGGAAUAUGUCAUGUAGCGGUGAAAAUGCUUAGAUAUGACAUAGAACACCCAUUGCGAAAGGCAGCUCGCUACACUAUUAUUGACUGAGGCACGAAAGCGUGGGGGAUCAAAACAGG